rnacentral:rRNA from 1 species
CCUACGGGAGGCAGCAGUGGGGAAUAUUGGACAAUGGGCGCAAGCCUGAUCCAGCCAUGCCGCGUGAGUGAUGAAGGCCUUAGGGUUGUAAAGCUCUUUUACCCGGGAAGCUGUACCGGGAGAAUAAGCCCCGGCUAACUUCGUGCCAGCAGCCGCGGUAAUACGAAGGGGGCUAGCGUUGUUCGGAUUUACUGGGCGUAAAGCGCACGUAGGCGGGCUUUUAAGUCAGGGGUGAAAUCCCGAGGCUCAACCUCGGAACUGCCUUUGAUACUGGAAGUCUUGAGUAUGGAAGAGGUUGGUGGAACUGCGAGUGUAGAGGUGAAAUUCGUAGAUAUUCGCAAGAACACCAGUGGCGAAGGCGGCCAACUGGUCCAUACUGACGCUGAGGUGCGAAAGCGUGGGGAGCAAACAGGAUUAGAUACCCUUGUAGUC